rnacentral:lncRNA from 1 species
AUGUCACCUCUCAACCCCUUUCACCCACAGAUUUGUGCUCUAAAUUCUCCCCAUAUUUCCUAUAUUAGUACUUUUCCUCUGAAAAGUGAAAAGAGAGUGGAGGGGAGAGAGAGACACGGAGACAGAGAGACAGAGGGAAAAGGACUGGAAUAUGAGAAUUGUGUCCCUGCGGAGAUUUUUGAAUGCACUGACAAUGCCACUCCCUUUUUCAUAUUGAGCUAUAUAAAUACAAGGCUCCGUGGCUUCAUUUUUUUAUCACUGCACAUUGCUUGGUUUAGACUUGUGCAAGGGAUUGUUCACACAUAACACACCAAUCAUUUACAUCAUGGUGGUCGUCAACAGCAAGCAACCUGGUUUGCCCUGCGAGAUGUUGGUCGUCAACCACUUCCCGGUCUCUGUUACCCUCUACUUCAGAGAAAAUGAUGGGGAUGGUGAUGAUGACGACGAUGACGACGACGACGGUGGGGUUGCACCAGCAGCCUAGAUAUUGCACCGUUGCUCGGAGAUUUGUCGCUGCAAGUAUUAGGGUUUUCUUUCGUUAAGAGAGAAGAAUCAGCUUUACCCAUAAUAUGUAUGCUGGGGGAAAUUGCUGAUUGAGGCCUCCUAAGUGCGAUGCUCACCAGCAGCCAAGCUGGGGCAACCACUUGAUAUAAUCCUAGUCAUGUAAGGUUUAUCGUUACUGUUGAGUUCAUCUAUGGUAAUCCUAAGUGAUUAGUUAGUAGUUACCAAUAUUACUGUACCUGUUAGUCAUGUGACACGAAUAAAACCUACAUAAAUUAGCAGGCCUAGCUGAUUGGGGAGUUAGGGUUACCCGUCGCUCCCUCCCUCUCUAUCUCUCCCUCUCCCUCUCCCUCUCCUUCCCUCCCUCUCUCCCUCCCUCUCCCUCCCUCUCUCUCUCUCAUAUAUCUUGAGGCAAUCGAACGGAAUUGGAGUUCACAAUUUCACUCUCAUCUGCGACUGGAUGCUUUUCAGAUGAAGUUUUCAUCUGAAUUAUCCUUCACAAGAAGUUUGAAAGAAAGGGAAGUAUAAGAAUAAUUUUGCAAGCUCCAGCUCCUGAUUUAAUUCGCAGGAGCUAGUUCAUUCGAGGCUGUCCAAAUAAUAGUGGAUGCUGAAAUUGUAGCGUCGAUUCCAAAUCAUUGCGUUUGGGAAAGCUUUUGGAGAAAAUCUUUGAGAAAAUGCAAAAAUCCUUGAGUUAAAGGAGUUUUUUAAAAUGCAAAUUGUAUUUGGUAAAUCGAAUUUGUGAAAAUCCAUUGUAAAAUACCUUUGAGUGAAAUAUUGUUUGGACAACUUAAAUUUGCAAAAGACUUUUGUUAUUAAAAAAUAAUAAAAAAAGGAGAGUUGGCUAGCCAAGGGCUUGGCCGGCGACCGUCAGCGAAGGGUAGGCUGUUUGGUGAGGGGUAGGCGGUGCGGCGAAGGGGAGGCGUCCACCUAGGGUUGCUGUGUGGAGGACACGGCACGACCACCCUUGCCGGAUGGUCGUGCGACCCGUUGUGCUGCGACCUCCAUGCGGAGGUCGCUGGGGCCGCACGAUCUGGUCGCCAUGACCUAGAUCGCACGACCAGAUCUGGGUUGUUAUGACCAUCGCCACGCUGUGUCCUCCACACGGCAACCCUCGUUGGAGGGUCGCAGGACCCUAGCUAGACCACCUGCCUUUUGCUACACUGCUUGCCCUUCGUUGGACCACCUACCUUUCAUCAGCGACCAUGCAUAGAUGCUAGUCAUGUUUAGUAGAGAGAAGGGAAGAAGACGAAGAUGAUGAAUAGUUAUCAAGGUUAAACCAGAAAAAUAAAAGAUUAGCGAGGACAAUUUCAAGAGAAUAUUUUCACUAGCCUUGAAGGCUAGCAUGCUGAGAAAGCCCAAGGCAGCCCCUAACUUGCCUUGGGCUUUCAUCCUUUUGAAGUUUUGCAUUUGGCAAAGGUAGGUCAAAAAAAUUUG